GCACCCAUGGUCUAGUGGUAUGAUACAUCACUAGUAAUAUACUAGUUCAUGAUGGGGUCGGAAUGAUACUAUCACUAGUAACUUGCUAGAUUAAUGAUGGGGUCGGGAGUUCAAUUCUCUCUGGGUGCA